GCGGCAUGCCUUACACAUGCAAGUCGAACGGCAGCACGGGUGCUUGCACCUGGUGGCGAGUGGCGAACGGGUGAGUAAUACAUCGGAACAUGUCCUGUAGUGGGGGAUAGCCCGGCGAAAGCCGGAUUAAUACCGCAUACGAUCUGAGGAUGAAAGCGGGGGACCUUCGGGCCUCGCGCUAUAGGGUUGGCCGAUGGCUGAUUAGCUAGUUGGUGGGGUAAAGGCCUACCAAGGCGACGAUCAGUAGCUGGUCUGAGAGGACGACCAGCCACACUGGGACUGAGACACGGCCCAGACUCCUACGGGAGGCAGCAGUGGGGAAUUUUGGACAAUGGGCGAAAGCCUGAUCCAGCAAUGCCGCGUGUGUGAAGAAGGCCUUCGGGUUGUAAAGCACUUUUGUCCGGAAAGAAAUCCUUGGUUCUAAUAUAGCCGGGGGAUGACGGUACCGGAAGAAUAAGCACCGGCUAACUACGUGCCAGCAGCCGCGGUAAUACGUAGGGUGCAAGCGUUAAUCGGAAUUACUGGGCGUAAAGCGUGCGCAGGCGGUUUGCUAAGACCGAUGUGAAAUCCCCGGGCUCAACCUGGGAACUGCAUUGGUGACUGGCA
rnacentral:rRNA from 1 species